rnacentral:lncRNA from 1 species
AGAACGGCUUGAAUAUGAAGCAAAAAAACUGCAAAGCUAUGUAAAGGAAAAGACCCUUCUAAUUUCAGAAAAAGGUGUGCUUGCUGACAUGAUUAGCCCGGGUGUGCUUAGGUCCUUAGUAACCUUAACAGACAAACCAAAGUAAACUAGGCUUGUAAACUUAACCUUACCUGUUCAAUAAUUGUUUUGCAAAUGCUUUGUGUUACCUCCCUCGUUUACUUUUCCAUGUUCAGUUUCAACUCGGACAAGGAUUGAGCUUUAUUUCAAAUUAUGUGCCAUUAUUUGUAGUGUUCAUAUUUAGCUUCAGUUAAAUGGUAUGGUGGCUUCCAGAAUUGCUUUCUUCUGAGUAUUGUAUCUUGCUAGGCCACCAACUGCCGCAUUCAUCUUAAUAUCUUGAUGGUCCAGCUGGGAAUAUGCAAAUGUACAUUUCAUCCUAAUUUCAUUCGACUUGAUUUUUGUAAUCAAGUAAAUUAUGAACAUAUUAUAUGCUUCAACACAUGGACUAUUGAAAAGAAAAAUGAAUGGUGUAUUGUUGUUGAUAUCUUUUUAAAGCUUGAGUGCAUGCAACUUCAGUUUUAAAAUGUUAGAGAAAUAAAAAUGGGUUCGCUUGUUUUGCAAUGGGUGUUCCCCUCAGCUUCCCCCUUCUCUUCUAUCUGAAAACUUAGCAUGCGUAAGUGCAGAUAUUGCAUCAUGAUAGUUUAGGAAAAAACUCUUUUUCUGGUUUGGUCACUGAAGACGAUACUUAAUAGUUCUGAUAUGAACUCGUAUAACAUUUUUGUUGAUCUAUAAUGGCUGUGAUGAUGCCAUGAUGCCCCCAUAUAGCGUUCUGUUAAAUCUAUAAUUGUUCCUCCUAUAUCAUAGAUAACGGGACCGAGUUAUGGUGUUUUUUUUUUUUUUUUUUAACUCAUGUUUUUUCAAUUUUAUUGUUUGAAAUUUGAUUUAAUUGAAUAUUAGGCUAUGUAAUUUAUUUUUUUGUAUGGGAUUUUUCACUUGUUUUAAACAUAUCUCAGGUUUUUUAUAUUUUUUUAUUAGAUUUAACUUUUUUAAAAGAUUUUUUUAAAUUAAAUUAGAUUGAUUGCUCGAUAUUUAUUUUUAAAAUUAUAUUUUUAUCCAAUAUAUCACUAUCUUUAUUUAUUUUAAUAUUUUUUUAAGGUAAGGUUGAAAAAACAUUUAUUUCGCAGCUUAGUGUUAUGUUUAUUUUUUUAAACUCAUGUUUUUUUUUUUUCAAUAUUUUAUUUAUUUGAAGAUUGGAUUCUUUUUAUGAUUUCUAUAUGGUUUUUCACUUAUUUAAAAAAUUAAAGGGUUAUCUCAUAUCUUUCUAUUUAUUCUUCAUUGUUAUUUUAAUCAUAAUAUUAAAUUGAGGGUAAAUUACCCAAAUCUUGAAUUUAUAUAUAUAUAUAUAUUUCAAACCAUUUUAGAUUUGAUGGAGUUAUUUUUUUAGAUUUUUUAAAUGAAAAUCCAUAUUUAUUUUAAUUUGAAUUUUAUAGUGUUAUUGUUUACUCAUGUUUCAAAUAAAGAGUUUUCGCAAGUUAAAAAUAAUUUAUUGUGGUUAAUUUAAUAUAUUAGCUUCUUAAUAUUUUCUUUUAAAAUACAAUUUAUUAUAUCACCAUGUCGAUGUUUUAAAUUUUUUAUAUCCAUUAUAAAAAUUAUAAUUUCAUACCUGAUAUAAUAAAUAAAUUUUAAAAUAAAAAAAUUAAACUACCCCAGUUAGAGCCACUAGACCCUACCUAGAAAUGUUAUCAGCCCAACAUGACCCAAAAUCAAUUAAAAUCACACGGCUAGGAUUAGCUUUCCGAUACAUAAAUAAAAACCAGGGCAUGCCGCCUCAUAGUAAUAAGCCUUCGAGGAGAAGAGAGGGAGCCGUCUUCAGACAUCUCGUGCCACAACAAUGGGUGAGCAAGCAUUCAUCUCCUUCCAAAAACACUCUUAGAUUCUGCUUUGUUUCGACCCCUUUUCAUAUUUCAAUCCUCAGCGCUCUGUGUUGUUUCUGAGAUCUUGUUUGUUUAUUUUGGUUAGAAAACGAGAUUGAUUUUUUUUUGCAUGCAAUUAGAUGAACUUGAUCUUGUUGAUGAUUUUAUCGAACUACAUGAUUGAUGUGGUUCAGUUAACUUUUUAAACCAUGUCGAAAACAGAAGGUUUUAGACAGGGUUCGUGAUUCAAUCACUGAUUUUUUCAUGCACUUGAAAUAUGAAAUGGCCUCAUUAAGUGGCGUUGCUUUCUUUCUUUUUUGGCAUUUUUUUGGAGACUACUAGAUGGAGAAUAGAAACGCGGGGUUUGGUUAUAAUUUGUGAUUUUUGAAUUAAUGAUGAGUGUGUUGAUGUAUAGGGGCUUACAAGUAUGUUUCGGAGCUAUGGUAGUUUCAUAAUCUUCAUCAAUCGAAGGUAGCUUUUAUAUGUCAUUUGAGAUUUAACAUGCAAAGUUUCAAUCAUGAGGCUAACCAUAACAUGUUUUCAACGGAAUUUCUCCAUGAAGCACAAAAACUGAAAAUAAUAGUUUAUUGAGACACCUUGCAACAAUUUGCAUAUUCUCUCUCAAUGGAGAAAAAAACUCAAGUGACACAUUAUGCAGAGCAUCACAUGAUGAACACUUCACAAAUCAAGUAGAAAAAAAAGGGAAAAAAAACUCACCUGGGAAUGCAUAGCCUCCACGGAGUAAAUUCUCAAACCCUAAACCAGUGCCUUUACAUAUUCUCUUAUAACCCCCCAAAAAAAUGGAUGAAGGAAUGCAGCAAUUCCAACAAAGCAUAAUCGAGCUUGAAAACGAAGCCGAGCAUCUCCUAUUAGCUCGAAAUCAGGUACACUUUAAAACCUUUAAAAAAUAUCUUUGCAAAUUAUCCUUUCCAAGAAUUCACUCUGUUUUAUUUUUAUCAGGUGAUUGAAAAUGAUAAAGAGAGGAACGGAAACAGAGAAGCAUUGACAGCUUUAAGGAAGAGAGCCAAGACUACAAAAACGAGCAUAAAGUUUCCUUUUGAGUCGAUAAUGAAGGAUAUUGGGAAGCCGGGAUCAAGGACUGCUCCUUUAGUGAAAGAAAUUUGUGGGACUUGUGGUAAUCAUGACGAGAAAGAGAAAACUUGGAUGAUGUUUCCAGGAAGUGAUGUUUUUGCUUGCAUUCCAUUUCAUGCUGCUCACACUAUCUUGGAUGGAGGUAUUUUUUUUUUGUUUUUUUAAUUAGAAAAUACUGGGUUUUGAUUGCAAGAGAAUUAUAUGUUUAUGAUGGGUUUUAAUUUGAUGAUUUGUCAAUGUAGUGGAAUUAUUAAUCGUUUGGUUUAACGCGUGCAAUAUGUUUUGGAAGUUAAGUUUAAGGUUAUUACGUACCCUAGUAAAACUUGUUUUAUCAAGUUUUUCGUUGGUUUAGUGUUUUUUAUUUGUGCUCUUGUCUGAUAAAUUAGAGGUGCGAAUAAUGAAGUGGGUUUUCUUUGUCUUCUGGUUCUGUUUCUCUGCCGAGAACACGAGGGACUUUAGGAAUAUAUGGUUUGCUUGACAUUUAAAUUGGAUGUAGAAGACACUUGGGAGAUCUUAUUUUUUUGAGAACCUUGUAUUUGAAGGUCUUAUGUUGCCUAUUCUCAAUGAGGACUGAUAUGGUUUGUCCUAUUGGGCCAAAAGAUAGGGUAUUCUUCUGUUUCCGGAGUUAGUUGAUUGAGAGUGAAUUUAUGCAUUGCACCAAUGCUCCUAGCUUGUUUUAGAACUUUGAACCCUAUUUCAAGGAGGAACUAUUGCUUCAUGAGAAAAGGUUUAUAUGUAGACAUUUGAUCUGAUAUUUAUAUGAUUUUCCUUGUUCUUGAAAAACACGUAUAAUGUACUUGGACAAGUAUGAUUUGUGAAGUGUUCAUCAUGUGAUGCUCUGCAUAAUGUGAUGUUCACUUGAUUUGAGUUUUUUUCUCCAUUGAGAGAGAAUAUGCAAAUUGUUGCAAGGUAUCUCAAUAAACUAUUAUUUUCAGUUUUUGUGUUUCAUGGAGAAAUUCCGUUGAAAACAUGUUAUGGUUAGCCUCAUGCUUGGAACAUGAUUGAUCAUUGAUAUAGACUUUUACUGUACUAUAUUUUUCUUUCAGCAAAUUUCAAUGACAGUUCCUUAAUCUUGUGUUUGCUGUGGCGCAGAUCAAGAACGGCUUGAAUAUGAAGCAAAAAAACUGCAAAGCUAUGUAAAGGAAAAGACCCUUCUAAUUUCAGAAAAAGGUGUGCUUGCUGACAUGAUUAGCCCGGGUGUGCUUAGGUCCUUAGUAACCUUAACAGACAAACCAAAGUAAACUAGGCUUGUAAACUUAACCUUACCUGUUCAAUAAUGGUUUUGCAAAUGCUGUGUGUUAGCUCUCUCGUUUAUCUUUCCAUGUUCAGUUUCAACUCGGACAAGGAUUGAGCUUAAUUUCAAAUUAUGUGCCAUUAUUUGGAGUGUUCAUAUUUAGCUUCAGUUAAAUAGUAU